CCUACGGGUGGCAGCAGUGGGGAAUAUUGCACAAUGGGGGAAACCCUGAUGCAGCGACGCCGCGUGAGUGAAGAAGUCUCUCUGUAUGUAAAGCUCUAUCAGCAGGGAAGAAAAUGACGGUACCUGACUAAUAAUCCCCGUCUAACUCCGUUCCAGCAGCCGCGGUAAUACGUAGGGGGCAAGCGUUAUCCGGAUUUACUGGGUGUAAAGGGAGCGUAGACGGCGGUGCAAGUCCGGAGUGAAAGCGCAUGGCUUAACCAUGGGACUGCACUGGAAACUGGGGGGCUUGAGUGAAGUAGAGGCAGGCGGAAUUCGUAGUGUAGCGGUGAAAUGCGUAGAUAUUAGGAGGAACACCAGUGGCGAAGGCGGCUUACUGGACUGUAACUGACACUGAGGCACGAAAGCGUGGGGAGCAAACAGGAUUAGAUACCCCAGUAGUC
rnacentral:rRNA from 1 species